UGGGGAAUUUUGCACAAUGGGGGAAACCCUGAUGCAGCGACGCCGCGUGAUUUAGAAGGCCUUCGGGUUGUAAAAAUCUUUUCUAUGGGAAGAAAAUGACAGUACCAUAGGAAUAAGGACCGGCUAAUUACGUGCAAGCAGCCGCGGUAAUACGUAAGGUCCGAGCGUUGUCCGGAAUCAUUGGGCGUAAAGGGUACGUAGGCGGGUAAGCAAGUUAGAAGUGAAAUCCUAUAGCUCAACUAUAGUAAGCUUUUAAAACUGCUCAGCUUGAGGUAUGUAAGGGAAAGUGGAAUUCCUAGUGUAGCGGUGAAAUGCGCAGAUAUUAGGAGGAAUACCGGUGGCGAAGGCGACUUUCUGGCCAUAACCUGACGCUGAGGUACGAAAGCGUGGGUAGCAAACAGG
rnacentral:rRNA from 1 species